rnacentral:rRNA from 1 species
UGGGGAAUAUUGGACAAUGGGCGCAAGCCCGAUCCAGCCAUGCCGCGUGAGUGACGAAGGCCUUAGGGUUGUAAAGCUCUUUUGGCGGGGACGAUAAUGACGGUACCCGCAGAAUAAGCUCCGGCUAACUUCGUGCCAGCAGCCGCGGUAAUACGAAGGGAGCUAGCGUUGUUCGGAAUCACUGGGCGUAAAGCGCACGUAGGCGGAUUAUUAAGUCAGGGGUGAAAUCCCGGGGCUCAACCUCGGAACUGCCCUUGAUACUGCAAAUCUCGAGUCCGAUAGAGGUGAGUGGAAUUCCUAGUGUAGAGGUGAAAUUCGUAGAUAUUAGGAAGAACACCAGUGGCGAAGGCGGCUCACUGGAUCGGUACUGACGCUGAGGUGCGAAAGCGUGGGGAGCAAACAGGAUUAGAUACCCCGGUAGUCCCUGAGCGGGCUGGCAAGGCGCAU